GCGGUGGGGAGCGGCACCUGGGCCGCGCCCGCGGCCGGGGCCGCCGCCGGCUGGAAACGAUUGGCCGCCGCCUGCUGGUUCGGGUCCGCCGCCGCCGCG
rnacentral:tRNA from 1 species